AUACUUGCCUGGCAGGGGAGAAACUAUGAUCACGAAGGUGGGUUUCCCAGGGCGAGGCUUAGCCAUUGCACUCCGGAUGUGCUGACCUCUGUGAUUUCCCCAAAUGUGGAAAACUCAACUGUAUAAUUUGUAGUAGUGGAGGACUGGGGGGAAAAAACAAACACAUUUUUA
ensembl:snRNA U1 U1 spliceosomal RNA